rnacentral:rRNA from 1 species
UACGAAGGGGGCUAGCGUUGUUCGGAAUUACUGGGCGUAAAGCGUACGUAGGCGGAUUUGUAAGUAGGGGGUGAAAUCCCCAGGCUCAACCUGGGAACUGCCUUCUAGACUGCAAGGCUCGAGAUCAGGAGAGGCGAGUGGAAUUCCGAGUGUAGAGGUGAAAUUCGUAGAUAUUCGGAGGAACACCAGUGGCGAAGGCGACUCGCUGGACUGAUACUGACGCUGAGGUACGAACGCGUUGGGAGCAAACAGG